GACGAACGCUGGCGGCGUGCCUGACACAUGCAAGUCGAACGGGUGCUAGCUGCCCGCAAGGGUGGCUAGCGCUAGUGGCGGACGGGUGAGUAACACGUGGGCAGCCUGCCUGAGAGUGCAGAAUAACCCUGCGAAAGCAGAGCUAAUACUGCAUGUGGUUGUCGGAUGGCAUCAUCUGACAACUAAAGUCGCAAGACGCUCUCAGAUGGGCCCGCGGCCUAUUAGCUAGUUGGUGAGGUAACGGCCACCAAGGCUGUGAUGGGUAGCUGGUCUGAGAGGACGGACAGCCACACUGGGACUGAGACACGGCCAGACUCCUACGGGAGGCAGCAGUGAGGAAUUUUCCGCAAUGGGCGAAAGCCUGACGGAGCAACGUCGCGUGAGGGAUGAAGUCUCUAGGGAUGUAAACCU
rnacentral:rRNA from 1 species